rnacentral:rRNA from 1 species
GACGAACGCUGGCGGCGUGCUCAAUACAUGCAAGUCGAACGCUUUUGUUUUCACCGGAGCUAUGCUCCACCGAAAACAAAAGAGUGGCGGACGGGUGAGUAACACGUGGGUAACCUGCCCUCAAGCGGGGGAUAACACUUGGAAACAGGUGCUAAUACCGCAUAACAAUCAGAAUCGCAUGAUUUUGAUUUGAAAGGCGCUUUUGCGUCACUUGAGGAUGGACCCGCGGUGCAUUAGCUAGUUGGUGAGGUAACGGCUCACCAAGGCCACGAUGCAUAGCCGACCUGAGAGGGUGAUCGGCCACACUGGGACUGAGACACGGCCCAGACUCCUACGGGAGGCAGCAGUAGGGAAUCUUCGGCAAUGGACGAAAGUCUGACCGAGCAACGCCGCGUGAGUGAAGAAGGUUUUCGGAUCGUAAAACUCUGUUGUUAGAGAAGAACAAGGGUGAGAGUAGAAUGUUCACCCCUUGACGGUAUCUAACCAGAAAGCCACGGCUAACUACGUGCCAGCAGACCGCAGGUAAUACGUAGGUGGCAAGCGUUGUCCGGACUUUAUUGGGCGUAAAGCGAGCGCAGGCGGUCUCUUAAGUCAUGAUGUGAAAGCCCCCGGACUCAACGGGGAGGGUCACUUGGAAACUGGGAGACUUGAGUGCACGAAGAGGAAGAGUGGAAU